rnacentral:rRNA from 1 species
UACGGGGGGGGCAAGCGUUGUUCGGAAUUACUGGGCGUAAAGGGUUCGUAGGUGGCUUGUUAAGUCAGACGUGAAAUCCCUCGGCUCAACCGGGGAACUGCGUCUGAGACUGAUGAGCUCGAGUGCAGGAGAGGAACGCGGAAUUCCAGGUGUAGCGGUGAAAUGCUUAGAUAUGUAAUAGAACACCGAUUGCGAAGGCAGUUCACUAGGCCUGUAUUGACACUGAGGCACGAAAGCGUGGGGAUCAAACAGG